rnacentral:rRNA from 1 species
AGAGUUUGCUCCUGGCUCAGGAUGAACGCUGGCGGCGUGCUUAACACAUGCAAGUCGAACGAAGCACCUUGAUUUGAUUCUUCGGAUGAAGAUCUUGGUGACUGAGUGGCGGACGGGUGAGUAACGCGUGGGUAACCUGCCUCAUACAGGGGGAUAACAGUUAGAAAUGACUGCUAAUACCGCAUAAGACCACAGCACCGCAUGGUGCAGGGGUAAAAACUCCGGUGGUAUGAGAUGGACCCGCGUCUGAUUAGGUAGUUGGUGGGGUAACGGCCUACCAAGCCGACGAUCAGUAGCCGACCUGAGAGGGUGACCGGCCACAUUGGGACUGAGACACGGCCCAAACUCCUACGGGAGGCAGCAGUGGGGAAUAUUGCACAAUGGGGGAAACCCUGAUGCACCGACGCCGCGUGAGCGAUGAAGUAUUUCGGUAUGUAAAGCUCUAUCAGCAGGGAAGAAAAUGACGGUACCUGACUAAGAAGCACCGGCUAAAUACGUGCCAGCAGCCGCGGUAAUACGUAUGGUGCAAGCGUUAUCCGGAUUUACUGGGUGUAAAGGGAGCGUAGACGGAGUGGCAAGUCUGAUGUGAAAACCCGGGGCUCAACCCCGGGACUGCAUUGGAAACUGUCAAUCUAGAGACCCGGAGAGGUAAGCGGAAUUCCUAGUGUAGCGGGACAUGCGUAGAUAUUAGGAGGAACACCAGUGCCGAAGGCGGAUUACUGGACGGUAACUGACGUUGGAGGCUCGAAAGCGUGGGGAGCAAACAGGAUUAGAUACCGUGGUAGUCCACGCCGUAAACGAUGACUACUAGGUGUCGGGCAGCGAAGGCUGUUCGGUGCCGCAGCAAACGCAAUAAGUAGUCCACCUGGGGAGUACGUUCGCAAGAAUGAAACUCAAAGGAAUUGACGGGGACCCGCACAAGCGGUGGAGCAUGUGGUUUAAUUCGAAGCAACGCGAAGAACCUUACCUGCUCUUGACAUCUCCCUGACCGGCAAGUAAUGUUGCCUUUCCUUCGGGACAGGGAUGACAGGUGGUGCAUGGUUGUCGUCAGCUCGUGUCGUGAGAUGUUGGGUUAAGUCCCGCAACGAGCGCAACCCCUAUCUUUAGUAGCCAGCGGUCAGGCCGGGCACUCUAGAGAGACUGCCAGGGAUAACCUGGAGGAAGGUGGGGAUGACGUCAAAUCAUCAUGCCCCUUAUGAGCAGGGCUACACACGUGCUACAAUGGCGUAAACAAAGGGAGGCAGAACCGCGAGGUCGAGCAAAUCCCAAACAUAACGUCUCAGUUCGGAUUGUAGUCUGCAACUCGACUACAUGAAGCUGGAAUCGCUAGUAAUCGCGAAUCAGAAUGUCGCGGUGAAUACGUUCCCGGGGUCUUGUACACACCGCCCGUCA